rnacentral:rRNA from 1 species
UACGGAGGGUGCAAGCGUUGUUCGGAAUUACUGGGCGUAAAGCGCGUGUAGGCGGCUGCCUAAGUCUGAUGUGAAAGCCCGAGGCUUACCCUCGGAAGCGCAUUGGAAACUGGGCAGCUGGAGUAUCGGAGAGGAGGGUGGAAUUCCUGGUGUAGCGGUGAAAUGCGUAGAUAUCAGGAAGAACACCGGUGGCGAAGGCGGCCCUCUGGACGAAUACUGACGCUGAGACGCGAAAGCGUGGGGAGCAAAC